rnacentral:rRNA from 1 species
AGCCGCCGCGGUAAUACGAAGGGUGCAAGCGUUAAUCGGAAUUACUGGGCGUAAAGCGUGCGUAGGCGGUGAGUUAAGUCUGCUGUGAAAUCCCCGGGCUCAACCUGGGGAUGGCAGUGGAUACUGGCUCGCUAGAGUGUGUCAGAGGAUGGUGGAAUUCCCGGUGUAGCGGCGAAAUGCGUAGAGAUCGGGAGGAACAUCAGUGGCGAAGGCGGCCAUCUGGGACAACACUGACGCUGAGGCACGAAAGCGUGGGGAGCAAACAGGAUUAGAUACCCCCGUAGUCCCUGUCUCUUAUACA